AGCAGAGAUGCUUUGGUGCCUUCGGGAACUCUGAGACAGGUGCUGCAUGGCUGUCGUCAGCUCGUGUUGUGAAAUGUUGGGUUAAGUCCCGCAACGAGCGCAACCCUUAUCCUUUGUUGCCAGCGGUCCGGCCGGGAACUCAAAGGAGACUGCCAGUGAUAAACUGGAGGAAGGUGGGGAUGACGUCAAGUCAUCAUGGCCCUUACGAGUAGGGCUACACACGUGCUACAAUGGCGCAUACAAAGAGAAGCGACCUCGCGAGAGCAAGCGGACCUCAUAAAGUGCGUCGUAGUCCGGAUUGGAGUCUGCAACUCGACUCCAUGAAGUCGGAAUCGCUAGUAAUCGUAGAUCAGAAUGCUACGGUGAAUACGUUCCCGGGCCUUGUACACACCGCCCGUCACACCAUGGGAGUGGGUUGCAAAAGAAGUAGGUAGCUUAACCUUCGGGAGGGCGCUUACCACUUUGUGAUUCAUGACUGGGGUGAAGUCGUAACAAGGUAAGCGUAGCGAG
rnacentral:rRNA from 1 species